rnacentral:rRNA from 1 species
GCCAACGGCCAUACCACGUUGAACACACCAGUUCUCGUCGCAUCACUGAAGUUAAGCAACGUCGGGCCGGUUAACUUGGAUGGGUGACCGCCUGGGAACCCCGGGUGCUGUUGGUA